AAAUUGAAGAGUUUGAUCAUGGCUCAGAUUGAACGCUGGCGGCAGGCCUAACACAUGCAAGUCGAACGGUAACAGGAAGCAGCUUGCUGCUUCGCUGACGAGUGGCGGACGGGUGAGUAAUGUCUGGGAAACUGCCUGAUGGAGGGGGAUAACUACUGGAAACGGUAGCUAAUACCGCAUAACGUCGCAAGACCAAAGAGGGGGACCUUCGGGCCUCUUGCCAUCGGAUGUGCCCAGAUGGGAUUAGCUAGUAGGUGGGGUAACGGCUCACCUAGGCGACGAUCCCUAGCUGGUCUGAGAGGAUGACCAGCCACACUGGAACUGAGACACGGUCCAGACUCCUACGGGAGGCAGCAGUGGGGAAUAUUGCACAAUGGGCGCAAGCCUGAUGCAGCCAUGCCGCGUGUAUGAAGAAGGCCUUCGGGUUGUAAAGUACUUUCAGCGGGGAGGAAGGGAGUAAAGUUAAUACCUUUGCUCAUUGACGUUACCCGCAGA
rnacentral:rRNA from 1 species